AUUGAACGCUGGCGGCAUGCCUUACACAUGCAAGUCGAACGGUAACAGGUCUUCGGAUGCUGACGAGUGGCGAACGGGUGAGUAAUACAUCGGAACGUGCCUAGUAGUGGGGGAUAACUACUCGAAAGAGUGGCUAAUACCGCAUGAGAUCUACGGAUGAAAGCAGGGGAUCGCAAGACCUUGUGCUACUAGAGCGGCCGAUGGCAGAUUAGGUAGUUGGUGGGAUAAAAGCUUACCAAGCCGACGAUCUGUAGCUGGUCUGAGAGGACGAUCAGCCACACGGGGACUGAGACACGGCCCAGACUCCACCGGGAGGCAGCGGUGGGGAAUUUUGGACGAUGGGCGAACGCCUGAGCCAGCAAUUCCGGGUGCAGGAUGAAGGCCUUCGGGUUGUAAACUGCUUUUGCACGGAAGGAAAAGCACCGGGUUAAUACCCUGGGGUCAUGACGGUACCGUAAGAAUAAGCACCGGCUAACUACGUGCCUGCAGCCGCCGUAA
rnacentral:rRNA from 1 species